rnacentral:rRNA from 1 species
UACGGAGGGUGCAAGCGUUAUCCGGAUUCACUGGGUUUAAAGGGAGCGCAGGUGGGCUAGUAAGUCAGUGGUGAAAUCUCCGAGCUUAACUCGGAAAUUGCCGUUGAUACUAUUAGUCUUGAAUAUUGUGGAGGUUAGCGGAAUAUGUCAUGUAGCGGUGAAAUGCUUAGAUAUGACAUGGAACACCAAUUGCGAAGGCAGCUGGCUACACAAAUAUUGACACUGAGGCUCGAAAGCGUGGGGAUCAAACAGGAUUAGAUACCCUGGUAGUCCACGCCCUAAACUAUGGAUACUCGACAUACGCGAUACACUGUGUGUGUCUGAGCGAAAGCAUUAAGUAUCCCACCUGGGAAGUACGAUCGCAAGAUUGAA